rnacentral:rRNA from 1 species
AUACGUAGGGGGCGAGCGUUGUCCGGAAUGAUUGGGCGUAAAGGGCGCGUAGGCGGCCCGGUAAGUCUGGAGUGAAAGUCCUGUUUUUAAGAUGGGAAUUGCUUUGGAUACUGUCGGGCUUGAGUGCAGGAGAGGUAAGUUGAAUUCCCAGUGUAGCGGUGAAAUGCGUAGAGAUUGGGAGGAACACCAGUGGCGAAGGCGACUUACUGGACUGUAACUGACGCUGAGGCGCGAAAGUGUGGGGAGCAAACAGGAUUAGAUACCCUGGUAGUCCACACUGUAAACGAUGAAUGCUAGGUGUAGGGGGUAUCGACCCCUUCUGUGCCGCAGUCAACACAAUAAGCAUUCCGCCUGGGGAGUACGGCCGCAAGGUUGAAACUCAAAUGAAUUGACGGGG